AUAAAGGAAAGGUCAAGGUCAUGAAUAAAAUGGAAAUAUCAAUAAAGAGAUAGAAAACUUCCAUAUCAAUAAACCUCAAUAAGGAAAUAAUGUAUUUUUCAGAUGAUGUACACAGAAAUUCAGAUUUAAAGACCUGAGAUUGUUAUGUAAAAGACAUCUGAAUAUCAAGUGUCAAAUAGUUCUGGAUUUAGUUUUUUUUUUUUUUUCUUAUAUUACUUCGCAAUAGUCUCUUUCAAAUCAGAUGUCCUGAUCACCUGUUUCUGUAUUUCUUUUUAAGACAGAUUCUCCUCUUUUGGGCAAAACUUCUGGGUUUGAAUUUUGUAUGUGGGUGUUAUCUCCUCCAAAUUAAAUGAAAGCUUUUAGUGUCUUGAUUACCAAUAAUAUUGUGCCAUUGUGCAUGUCUUUUAUAUGCAGAGACUUAGGCUUUUUACUUCACUACAGUGCCCUCUCCAACUUGAGAAUUUCAGAUAUAUGCUGAUUAAUUGAAAAUAAAUAAUUCUGGUUCUUGCAACAUUAUAUUUUUGCUAUUAAUAAAUGACGUGCUCCCUGCUGUUAAAUUGCUGUUUUUUUCCAUUUAAUUCUCUUGAAGUGAUUGGCCAGGAGAAGCCUCUGAAAACGUGGAUCUUGUGGAAGGCCUCCAUUCUCGAGAGUAUGAAUCCUCAUCACACUGGGUUUGAUGCUGAGUUAUCUUCAUCCAAUUAAGCCGUCAUCUUCCAGAACCAGAGAUAGAAUUGCAGAAGUGUGGAUUUGGAACAAAUGACCAUAGAGGAAACAGAAAACCCAGGUAACAUACUCAGAAAAACUCUUCAUAUGUUCUCAUUCAUUUGGGGAAUAUAAAUAAUAGUGAAAGGGAAUAUAAGGGAAGGGAGAAGAAAUGUGUGGGAAAUAUCAGAAAGGGAGACAGAACAUAAAGACUCCUAACUCUGGGAAAAAAACUAGGGGUGGUGGAAGGGGAGGAGGGCGGGGGGUGGGGGUGAAUGGGUGACGGGCACUGAGGGGGGCACUUGACGGGAUGAGCACUGGGUGUUAUUCUGUAUGUUGGCAAGUUGAACACCAAUAAAAAAUAAAUUUAUUAUUAAAAAAAAAACUCU
rnacentral:lncRNA from 12 species